rnacentral:tRNA from 1 species
GGAGGUAUGGCUCAAAUGGUAGAGCACCAGCCUAGCAAGCGUGAAGCCCUGAGUUCAAACCCUAGUACCCCA